CCGAACAUUUUGGGAUACGAUUCUAGGAUCGCCGUUCCUUAUAAACCUUUCAUAGUCACUUCUAAAUUUGAUCUUCAUACCGAUCAUAACUCGGUCGUUGCACCACCGUCGCAAUCCUCCGUAAACCUUUGUCCGCCAAGAGUCAGUCGCCACCACAACACGCGACACUUUACCAGCUAUCGUUACCUCCGCACAACCGCCGCCGCAUACAUCCCUCGCGAACUAGACGUUGCGGAUUUGAAACCGCCAUACCUGUCGCACUCCAUCGUCCGUCUAGCUCCGUCCGCGCUACUCCGUCGUGACCGUCGCCACAUCGUUCAGGCCGCAUCAAUUGUUGUUGCUUGAUUCGGUUCGUUUGAUCAUCUGGAGCUCUAGUCUUUUGUCUCCGAUUAGCUCCGUUUGGUGACUAAGUCAUAUUAGGUGAUAUAGUAAAUGGUGGUGUACAAAAUUUUUUGCAGAAGUAGGUGGUCUACAAAAAUAAAGAGUGCAAUUAGGUGCAUUUGAAAAAUGUUUUCAGAUAUAGGUAAGUUGUGGAAUGAAUUCGCGACCUUCUCUCCAUUUUCUGCCAAAGAACAUGAUUUCCUGCAAAAGCUGACAUUCUCUGAAAAGGUUUGAUUCUGAAACAGCGACCUUGUGAAGGUCGCGAAUUGAUGUCACAAUCUUGUACAAGGUCGCGAAUUCAUAUACCAAGCUUAUUAAAGGUCGCUAUUUCAUGUCCCAACCUUGCUGAAGGUCUCUAUUUCAACUCCCAACCUUGUUGAAGGUCGCAGAUUGAAGUUCCAAGCAUGUAUAAGGUCGCGGAUCCAUGUACAAACCUUGUUAAAGGUCUCUGUUUUGUGUCACAAGCUUAUUAAAGGUUGUCAAAGUUUAUGAUGCUCGCAGAAUGAUAUUAAAUGUGUUCUGAAAAUCGGAAUUUAUAACCCAACCACACAUAACAGAUGCACACCAAAUUCAUACUGUGUUUGUUUAAAAAAUUUACUUUUGAAAUUUAAAUUGUGUCUGUAUGAUGUUCUUUAUUAAAAAAUGUCUUCUGAUUGGAAAAUUCGGUCAAUGUAUGAUGAUUCUCUUGGAUCAUUCGUCAUGAUGUUUUUCUCAGUUUUAAUUUUCGUAUACCUGGUGGGAAGAUGUUGUGUGCAUGAGAAAGAUUAUUCUCAUCUACCAUCUCCUCCCGUAACGUGUACGAGGAUAAUAAAAUAUGCUGCUGUGGUUGCGUCAAG
rnacentral:lncRNA from 1 species